CGCACCUGGACGCAGAACGGCGCGCCGCGCCCAGUGUCCCGCCGCCUCCCGCAAGCGGAAAUAGUUCCCGGAACGCCUGCGGUCCCGGGCCGCCUCCCAGACUCCAGGGGAGCCGUCCCUCCAACUCCCGGGAGCUGCCGAGGGAGGGGCGGAUCCGGGCCAGCUCCUCUGCCAGAGCCCAGCCCAGAGAGGGUGACCGGGGGACGCAGGGCCGGGUUUCCAGCCCCACGAGAGGGAUGGUGUAGGGACCGGGGCGUCGCGGCGAGACGCCUUUCCUCGGGGGGGGGUGCGGGGGGGCGCCCACCUCCUCCGUGUCGGCCGGAGGGUCUGCAACAGCGGGUGGAAUUUUUAGCACAAGCGAGGGAGGAGGUUGGAGCGACGAGAGGCGGGAGCGGAAAGGGCGCGGAGGCCGGGGCUGCAGCGCGCUCCACCGCCCAGCUGCAGGUGGCGCCUCUCGCCACCCGCACCCCGCUGCGCCCAGGGAAGGGCCGAUGGCGCGCCGUCCUCCCUCCUCCCUUCGGGAAGCCUGCGACGUCCCAUCCCCUCCGACGCAGGCCCGGGAAAGGCUCAAAAGGUUCGAGGUCGCGUUCCUGCUAUCCCGCGGGCUUCUCUCACUCUUAGAUCCCGCACCAGAGGAAGCGGAUCUCCUUGAGUGGGCAAAGCAGGGGUGAGGGGCUGGGGGCAGUUCCACUGACAACGGGACGGGGGCGAGAGGGGUUUACCCAGUACAUACAGAAACAGCAGAAAAGAAAUCUAUUUUUAAUGGCUUUGGCUUUAUAGCACGAAGCAGGCACCCUCUCGUUAAAGGCACACAGUCCUCUCUUCUGCCCCACCUCCUGGGUCCUUAAAAUCGAGUCCUGAGUUCCAGAGGGGUCACUGCAAGGCAGCAGGGAAGGGAGAGGGUCACAGUUUCACUCUGUGAGUAUCAGACACCCAGGGCCAAGGCCCAGACUGGCCUCUGAAGCUACAGGUUAGAGUCUGGGUACAGGAGGCAGCCGAGAUGGUCCCUGAGAACAGACAGUCCCGGUCCCCCGGAGCAAGCUCCAUCCUCUGCAGAGCUGUGAGGUCAGUGCCCCACAUCCUGGGGCAACGUGAAGUCCCUGAAGCUGUAGAAGGAGAUGUCACCAUGAUCCACCAGGGCAAAGAUCAGAGGGACAUCCCCACUCUGGUACUGCAGAGACGGCACUGCUUGGAAACUUACCGGGCACCUCCAUCAGGAAGGUGUGUUGUCUGCAGCACAGAGAUAUGCUGAAGGACCACGGCUACAAGGACACAGAAAACAAGGUACUGGGGAGGGGAGUCACAUUUCUCAGUCUGCCAUCUAGUUUAGGACGGCCAGAUUUAGCAACUUUUUUUUUUAAACGGAGUCUCACUCUGUCACCCAGGCUGGAGUAUAGUGGCGUGAUCUUGGCUCACUGUGACCUCUGCCUCCCAGGUUCAAGCAAUUCUCCUGUCUCAGCCUCCUGAGUAGCUGGGAUUAUAAGUGUGCACCACCACACCCGGCUAAUUUUUGUAUUUUUAGUAGAGAUGGUUUCACCAUGUUGCCCAGGUUGGUCUCGAACUCCUGACCUCAGGUGAUCUGCCCGCCUCGGCCUCCCAAAGUGCUGGGAUUACGGGUAUGAGCCACCGUGUCCAGCCUAGCAACAUUUUUUUUUUUUUUUUAGUAUAAGCAUAUCCCAUGCAAUUUUUGGAACAUAUACUGAAAAAUUAUACUGAAAGUCAAAUCAAACUGAUCUGGCAACCCUAUCUAGUUACCUACAAUCUACCGUGUUCCCAUAAAGGCUUUAAGUAAUUUGGAAUCCGUUAACACAUUUAGCUUAUUCUUUCCCCAUUGGUUCCCUGGGCUUAGAGCAGACAGCAAGCCUUUCUUUCACUUGGCCAAGAAGGCACCUCCUUUUCCCAUCUAACAGGUUGGGAUCACAGCUAGUUGGUGGCAAAGCCAUCCACAUGCAUGUUGUUUAUCUUUUUAAGGAUAUGGUCAUAGUUUCCACCCCUCCUUACCUCUCCUGACUCACCAUCUCUAAGCCUUCCCACACAGGCCCUGCUGCAGCCGCCGGAGAACUGACCGUGCUUGUGGGUCCACUCCCUCCUCCCACAUCUUCCUUAAGCCUCAAUCCAUCCCAGUUCAUCCAUGCCCUUUCCAAAGUCCUGUGAUUCCUCAGCUGCCAGUGGCCCUCGAAGAUGUGGCAGGCUGAGGGGGUACCUGGGGAGCUGGCCUGGCCAGGACUCAGCAGCGGGGUGACGGGCUGGCCCCACAGGUGAGGGGCCCGGCGCUGGCUCCUCUGCACCUGCCGCCGCUGCAGCAGCUCCUUGUACUCCCGCCAGCUGGAGCACCGCUGCACCUCGGGAUCGGCGUUGACAUCUUCCUGGAACUGCGCGGCCUCCGCGUGGUGCUCCCGUUCCCGCCUGGAGAGCUUCUCCUUGCGCUGGUUCAGCUUCUGGCACCAGGACUCAGCGUCUGUCUCCCGCCCAGCCACGUUGGCCGGGAGCAGCUCUGGGGCUGGGGCGCGCAGAAGGGUGUGGCGGCUGUCUGAAGCCAUGUUGGGGAAGGAGAUCUGCUCGAAGUUCCAGCGCCGCUUACCGGCUCCCGUGACUCCGUUCUCGGCUCUGCCACUCUCCCAGCUGCACCCCACCCCCUCCCUGGCCGGGCCAGGGCUGGGGCCCAGGGACCCCAGAAGCUGAAAGGGGCCCCCUGGGCCCUUCAUGGGGCUUGACUCCUGGGGUUUCUCCUCUGGGCAUUGGCUGGGCUGGCUGCAGGGAGGUGGGCUGGAGGCUGCCAGACUCUUGGGUUGCAGGGAGUUGUCCAGGGCCUUGGCCUUCUUAUUAAUGGACCUGAGGGACGUGGGGGAAAAGCAGCACAUCUGCCCCUGGUUGCUAAGGUGCACACGUCCCAUGGGAGCUGAAGGCAGGUCCCCUAGUGUCUCCCUGAGCCUGCAUGGGAGCUGCUGGUUCUUAGAAAGCCUGUGCAUUUUCCAAGGUCCCAGACACCAGCACUCCCUGGGGGGCCACCGUGAUGUGGGAGUUACCGAGGGCUGGAGCUGCUCCUCUUUCUCUUGCCAUCUCCAUCCUCCAAGUGCUGCACGCUGGCAUCCAGGUUAAGCUGCCUCUCAUACGGGGACAGGACAGAGCUGUGGGGUGAGAACAGCGGGUGGGCCACUGACCCACCUCCUCAGCCUGGGGAUCUGGUGGGAUGUGUAAGGAAACGGGCCAAGAGGACAGUCAGUGGGCCAGGAUCGGAGCCACACCCAAGUGCUAAGGCCCUAAGCAGACCCCCAUGAGGGGUACAGGCCCAGCCAGGGGGCCCAGCCAUGUGCCUCUGCCUAGGCAAUGGCCCAGAGGAGCUAGCAAACUUGGUAAAUAUAGAAAAAUAAAAACCUUGGAUAACUAUUGUUAACAUCUUUCUUUCGUUUAUGUACACACUAAUCUCUCUCCAUAUAUUUUUUUCUAACAAAAAUGUCAUUGUACUAGCAUACUGCUUUGUGAUCUUUUUUUUCACUCAAUAAUAUAUUGUGG
rnacentral:lncRNA from 1 species